CAAGUUUUAGUAGCGGGCGGAGGAGAGGUAGGUCGAGGUCUGGUGAGGAGCUUUUUAAAUGUGGAUCGUUACCUGAGAGAAGCCGAGUCAAUGCUUCUCGAUGAAGAAAUGGAUUCAUACUGAAAUGGGGGAGUGAUCGAGACUGGGUGAAUCAUGGCCUGGUAUGGAAACACCAAUGCCUUUGAAUGUAAAAUCCUACAAAAGGUAGAUAGGGCCCAGUACACCACGGGUAAAGCCCUCCCAACCAUUGAGCGCAUCUGCAUGAAAACAGCAUCCUUCAUUAGAGAUCCUCACCAUCCAGGUCAUGCUCUUUGCUCGCUGCUGUCAUCAGGAAGGAAGAACAGGAGCCUGUGAACUCGCACCACCAGGUUCAAGAACAAUUAUUACCCCUCAACCAUCAGGCUCUUGAACAGAAGGGGAUAAUGUGAGGGGCAAGUUUUUUACAGAGAGUGGUGGGUGUGGAAUGGGCUGCCGGCAUUAGUGGUGGAGGCAGAUAGGAUAGGGUCUUUUAAGAGACUCCUGGAUAGGUACAUGGAGUUGAGAAAAAUAGAGGGCUAUGGGUAAUCCUAGGUAAUUUGUAAAACAAGUACAUUUUCGGCACAGCAUUGUGGGCCGAAGGGCCUGUAUUGUGCUGUAGGUUUUUUAUGUUUCUAACUACACUCAUGCCCCAUCAUUGAGAUGUUUCCAACAACCAUUGAUCUCACUUUAUGGACUCAAUCUCAUGUUCUUGUUAUUUAUUGCUAUUUAUUUAUAUUUUUAUUUGCACAGUUUGUUUUCUGUAAUCUGGUUGAUCUUGUUAUAGUUAUUGUUAUAUAGAUUUGAUGAGUUUUCCCACAGGAAAAUGAAUAUCAUGAUUGUAUAUGGUGUCAUAUAUGUACAUAUUUUUAUAAUAAAUUUACUUUGAGCUUCAGUGGC